rnacentral:rRNA from 1 species
AAACUCAAAGGAAUUGACGGGGACCCGCACAAGCGGUGGAUGAUGUGGUUUAAUUCGACGCAACGCGAAAACCUUACCUACCCUUGACAUGUCUGGAAUCCCGCAGAGAUGUGGGAGUGCUCGAAAGAGAGCCAGAACACAGGUGCUGCAUGGCCGUCGUCAGCUCGUGUCGUGAGAUGUUGGGUUAAGUCCCGCAACGAGCGCAACCCUUGUCAUUAGUUGCUACGAAAGGGCACUCUAAUGAGACUGCCGGUGACAAACCGGAGGAAGGUGGGGAUGACGUCAGGUCAUCAUGGCCCUUAUGGGUAGGGCUACACACGUCAUACAAUGGCCGGUACAGAGGGCUGCCAACCCGCGAGGGGAGCCAAUCCCAGAAAACCGGUCGUAGUCCGGAUCGCAGUCUGCAACUCGACUGCGUGAAGUCGGAAUCGCUAGUAAUCGCGGAUCAGCUUGCCGCGGUGAAUACGUUCCCGGGUCUUGUACACACCGCCCGUCACACCAUGGGAGCGGGUUCUGCCAGAAGUAGUUAGCCUAACCGCAAGGAGGGCGAUUACCACGGCAGGGUUCGUGACUGGGGUGAAGUCGUAACAAGGUAGCCGUAUCGGAAGGUGCGGCUGGAUCACCUCCUUUAUG